UUAAAGAAAGGUAGAGAGAAAAUAUUUGAAGGGCUAAGGAAAUUUCAAAGUAUUUUAUAGAUGGAAAGCUAGUCCAUUAAAGGCAGAGGACAUGGCUUAUGGCAAGGGUACAUGCAUCCAUCUUCAUCCCUCAUAGCGCCUUGUGUUGGGAGAUAGGCCAUACAGUAUCUUAUAAAGUGGCAGAGAUAGAUAGGCCUAAAGAGAGAGUGGUGGAAUUGGGAACACAGAGGCAAGUGGGAGAAGGAAUCUGAGUGCAAGAAAUUCGGACAAUGGCAGCUAAGUGUGUUUGUCCCACGAACACCAAAUUGUCCUUUCAUUCUGGGGACAAGCUUGGGACAAACCUUAGCCGCCCGUAUUGAAGACCGUGGCUCCCAAUCCAACGAUUUAAGAUGCACUCCAUGAUUUCCCCGUGGAGACACGAUCAACCGUUGGAUCAAAACAAUGGAGGUUGAGUGCAGCCCAUGUGAGUUGGUCCCACAUGGAUUGUCGUUGAUGAUCAGGGCGGGGCAGGGCAUGGCAAAGGGUGUGCGACCUUAUUAAGGGCUUUUAAUUCGAGUCGUAACCUCAGGGCAUACUUAACAUUGUGGGUAUGGUCAAGCUCCAUGAGCCUUUGCUCUGCUCUUCCUCGACAUUGUUAGCUGUUUCUUCAUUACUAUUUUCAUUUAUUAGGAGGCCAGACCAGCUAUGAUUAAUGGGUACCAAACAAAAAUAGUGAUAUCACAGACUCACCUCUCUAUA